rnacentral:tRNA from 1 species
AGGCCCGGUCCCGUGAACGCACGGGGCCGGGCCUUCGGCGUACGGCGGGGUGUGGGCCCUCAGCCCAACAACUCCCGCACCACC